GAAAAACAAAAACCCUGUGUCGCUAUGGAGACUGUAUCUCCAGCUCCGAUGGGCCCAGCGGGCGGCAGCAGCCUGUGGCUGUCGCAGUGCCGAGGCCUGGGCCUGUGCCGGCUUCUCGCUGCCACGCAGGCCCUGAACCACGGGGCUCAGAGGGGCCAGGACAUGCCAGGACGCCCAAGGAACAAGGCAGUGGUGGACCCAAGGGUCUGGGUUCAAGAUCUGGUUCCCGGAAAGACUGCUCCCAAGGAACGAAAGCUGAGGCGAUUCUGCUACCUACACACCUCUCCCUUGACACCUUUUUAACCCUGUGAUGAGUUGCAGUCCAAUUCGCAGCAUUCAUGAAAUCUCAGGCAAAAUCUCAGACUGAAGGGAGUCCAGCCAGGAAGGAUCUGGCAGGGUGAGAUGUUUGGGCCUCAGCUCUCUUCCCACAGUUCAUCUGCAAAGCAAAAGGCUGAACCCGCCGCUAGAGGUACUGAUUGCUUUGCCAAGAGGAGGGGAUGGGACUAUGAGAAUUCAGAGAGGAAACCUUUGAUUGUCUCCAUUGCAUGAAACAUUUUCCCCAAGCAAAAUUGGGACCUGGAUGCGACAAAGUACUUGCAAACGCUUCAAAAGACCUCACAAGAAAAUGGAAGCUUAGUGGCAGAUCUGACCUGUUCUGGAACUCCAAGGCAAACAGAUGGGUUUGCUGCAAUAGUGCUUUUGUCCUCUCCACUGCUGCAGCUGAAAUGAUGUUGAGUAACCUGGAAAACUCAGCAAAUCCUCAGGAAUAAUCAAUCAUUUUUAGGUAGGUCACAUGCUCCUGCUAGAAGAGAUCAGUCCCGACUUUCCACCGUGCUCUGUCCAACUCCGCAGAUGAUAAUAACCAUACCACUGAGCUGGUUCUCACACAAGCACAAAUAUCACAUUUCUGAGCUCUCUGUUGAAGCUGUUUGU